rnacentral:snRNA from 1 species
GUGCUUACUUUGGCAGCAUGUAUUCUAAGAUUGGAACGAUAUAGAGAAGAUUAGCAUGGCCCACGCACAAGGAUGAGAUGCAAAUUCAUGAAGAGUUCCAUAUUUUA